GAUGCCCCAAGAUCCUCCUUCCAAUGAAACCUGAAAACAUGCAAAGUGGAUGCAUGAAUUCCUCAUGUGUUUCCUUUAGCUGCUUCCUUGUAUACACCGACCCACAGAUAUCAACUUCCUAGCUAUUUUUCAUGGGGUUAAAACAGAUUACACAAAUCUACAAGGAAUCCUAGUCCUGGCAGGAAUAGGGGUCUUUUCUGUGUCCUUCUCCUCACCAGAGAGCACCUGUCCCCUACCCAUUUUUUAACAUGGUAAAAGGUGAAACAUCUAUCCCCCAUCAGCAAGGUCAUCAUACAGGGCGACCAAGGCUGUUUCCGUGCCAAAGCCGGGCCUGAAACCCGACUGAAAUGAACAGGAAUGCUGUAUUCAGAACAUGGAUUCACUGAAUUUGGACCAGAAGUUUCAGAUCCUGGAAGGUUCAGGUGGCAAAUGAGUGAUGAUCCUUUCAAAGUGCAAUUUCGGCAUCGGUGAAGGGGCAGUUGCUGACGAGGGAGGCUGAAGGCGGCACUGCCUUCUCCAACCUCGUGUUCCCAAGAUGUUUUGGAUUUUGCUUCCCAUCAGCCCCAACCAACAUGGGCAAUGGAAUACCAUGAGUUGUAUGCCAAAACAUCUGGAGGGCACCAAGUUGGGCAGAGGAAACAGGCAGUGGCAUCUCCUGGUCUUCCUUCUCACUGCCAACUUCGUCUGGGCCAGAGCAAGAAGCAGGUUGAAAUGGUGAAGAGGAAAAAUAAGUCCAGGAGGCUCUUUCAGUGGACAAAAGCUGGAGUGUGGGCAGUUGCCCGACCAUGCUGAAUCUUGACGCUAGCCCUGGAUGUCAGCAUAAGUAACUUAGAUUUCAAACCAAAUACUUUUUUCAAAACAUUGAAGCCUACAAAGAGCUUGAUGGCCUGCCAAUAAGGAAGUAUAUAAUGUACACCUCAGCAAUUACGCAAUGGAACGACCAACUGGCAAUACAGGAUUUUCAGAAGAUAUUGGGGAAAAGUCUGAAAUUACACCUGGUGUCAAAUUUAAAUUGAAAUUAUUAUUUAUCAAACUUUAACAAGUUACAUCCCAAGUGUUUAUAAAUGCCAUAUAUUGUGGGAGAUAUCUUUGUGAACUGCCCAGACAACUUUGGCUAUUGGGCAGUAUAAAAAUGCAAUAAAUAAAUAAAUAUCCCAUGUUAUGCUAGUGGAAAAAUUACAAGAGUUAGUUUUGCUGCACUAGCAGUUGCACAAUCACUGUCAGAACUAGCACAAUUAGUGCAAGCAUCACCAAGUCUAAUAAGGUCGUAAGGAGUUGUGCAAGACCUUGUGCAAUUUAUUGUUCAUUUAUUUAUUACAUUUAUAUCACACCUUUUUUAUCCAAGGAACCUAAGGUGGCAUACAUAAUCUUCCUCCUC